rnacentral:rRNA from 1 species
GAUGAACGCUGGCGGCGUGCCUAAUACAUGCAAGUCGAGCGAACGGACGAGAAGCUUGCUUCUCUGAUGUUAGCGGCGGACGGGUGAGUAACACGUGGUUAACCUACCUAUAAGACUGGGAUAACUUCGGGAAACCGGAGCUAAUACCGGAUAAUAUUUUGAACCGCACGGUUCAAAAGUGAAAGACGGUCUUGCUGUCACUUAUAGAUGGAUCCGCGCUGCAUUAGCUAGUUGGUAAGGUAACGGCUUACCAAGGCAACGAUGCAUAGCCGACCUGAGAGGGUGAUCGGCCACACUGGAACUGAGACACGGUCCAGACUCCUACGGGAGGCAGCAGUAGGGAAUCUUCCGCAAUGGGCGAAAGCCUGACGGAGCAACGCCGCGUGAGUGAUGAAGGUCUUCGGAUCGUAAAACUCUGUUAUUAGGGAAGAACAUAUGUGUAAGUAACUGUGCACAUCUUGACGGUACCUAAUCAGAAAGCCACGGCUAACUACGUG